AACGCACGAGACCUGCGGACCUGCGGAAGGAUCAUUAGUGGACGCCCUCACGGGCUUAUAACUAUUCCAAACCUCUGUGAACCGUGCCCUUCGGGGCUAUUUUACAAACAUGGUGUAAUGAACGUCAUAUAUCAUAACAAAACAAAACUUUUAACAACGGAUCUCU
rnacentral:misc_RNA from 1 species